UGGGUAACCUGCCUCAAAGAGGGGAAUAGCCUCCCGAAAGGGAGAUUAAUACCGCAUAAUAUGUUUAGGUCGCAUGACUUUAACAUCAAAGGAUUUCUUUUAGAAAUUCCACUUUGAGAUGGACCCCGCGGCGCAUUAGCUAAUUGGUGAGGUAACGGCUCACCAAGGCAG
rnacentral:rRNA from 1 species